AACUUAUUAGAUGAAACCAUAUUAUAGAUGAAACCAUGUACCCAGAGAUUUAUUAUUUUCCUUCUAAUCCUUCAAACCAACCUAUCCAUUCAGAAUCAAAUACAACAGAUCUUGGAGAGUAUAAAUGGGAAGGGACAUUUUCUGGAAUCAACGAUGGACAAACUGCUUGAAACAAGAAAAACUUUAGAUGCAGACAUGGGAACAGCUGAACGAAGCGCUGUACGAAUAGGAUUGUGUAACUCAGACUCCUGUGACUGUUUUUCAGGUGUACUCUUCUGCACGUGCUCUCUGUCAAAACCGGUUCUUCAGCUGAGUUCACAAAUCUUCGGGAACUUUCUACCAUCCAUAGACACGAUUCAGCUUUCAGACUGCAAAGAAGUAGUAGUUGAAUAUAUUCCUCAGUUUACUGAACAACUAAGGAGAAUAAUAAUCUUGAACACAACCUCUGUGAAAUUAAAUCAGGGUUCUCUCUCUUUCUCUGGUUCGGGAGAAAGGUUGGUUUUCCUAGGACGCAUCUCCGCACUAUACUUAGCUCCAGGUUCUCUGGGUAAGGGAAUAACAGACCUAUAUAUUGUCUCUACUGGAAUACCAAAAGUCGAAGAAAAAACAUUUUCAGAUUUAUCCGAUCUGGAGGUGCUCGAUUUAGAAAACGUGGUGUUUCCGUUGUUCAAUGAAAGGCUCUUCAACAAGACAUUUCACAACGUGUUCCCCCAGACAUCAACCUUGAAGCUGCUGAGGGUCGUGAACAGUCACCUGGGCAUAAUCUACGGAACCUUCAUCAAGUGUUUCGCAGAGACAAUCAUUAUUGAAAAUACAAGGAUGAGUCUUGAAUCUGACAAUGCAUUUGAUCUUGAGGGAGUUUUUGUCAGUUUAAUUGGGAACCAGAUCGUAGGAAAGGUGAGGGAAUCCCUGAAGGUUGUAACAAGAACCAGUUUACUCCUCCAGAACAAUAUCAUAGAGGACAACUAUAUUAAUACUAUCAGUCUGAUUUUUCCGCAGGAAGAAAUAGAAAGGGUUGUGAUCAGGGAGAGUAGACUUACUCAGGGUACAUCAAACUACAUAAACCUAAACUCCAGUUAUCUAGAGAUAUCCGAUUCUGUUCUACAUCUAGUCGAUGCAAACAUGAUCAGAGCUGUUGUUAAUGUAUUCAAAUUCAGGGACAACGUAAUCAAAAGCUUUGAAACAGACACCUUGAAUUUAAGUGCAAGGAAAACAAUUGAGAUUUCAAACAACUUUUUUGAACACAUCCAGCCUGGAUCCCUGAACAACCUGAAGCUCCUCCCCCAGACCAACAUGGUGAACCCCGCCUUCACCCUCGCCAACAACACCUUCGAGAGCAUGGAGGACGGGUUCAUGAAGCUCGAUAUAUCUGUUUUAAUGAACUUGAAUAGUACUAUGUCAGAUUUGUACUUUAAUACAGAUUGUUCCUGUACUCUAGUGUCGGACGCUGUGCAUAGUAAGAUAUUGAGUUUAGAGAGUUCAAUGCCGCGAAGAAGAUCGAAGAAGUAUUCCAGUGUAGAUGUUAAAGAAGCCUUAGACCGGCUCAAGAAGCUUCUAGAACCUGCAAUACUUUGCAAUGAUCCUGAUGGUGGUAUAGUAAACCUGGAGAUGAGUGGGAUUUGUAAACCUGAUUAUCUUGCAAUUAUUAUAGGGGUCGUCUUUGCUAUUCUCAGUUCUAGGAUGGGGUCUAGUCUGUGUUAAUGAUAAACUUAAGGAAAGAGCAUUGAAACAAUUUAUUAUUCCUCUCUCUCCAUCUAAAGAAGGAGAGUUUGAACUUCAAACUGCUGAAAGCUUUAAAU
rnacentral:misc_RNA from 1 species